CUAGCCGUUGCGCCUUAGCGCACAGUCCUGAAGGCCCCACAUCUUGUGGAUCUUGCCGUGGACAUGUUUCUGGCAUGUGUUUCUCAAGCCUGCAACCGACGACUGAACAGACGUGUGAACAGUUUGAGUGUGGUAGCGCUGUGUGAGUUGGCGGUGGAACCCCCUCGUGGUGACACGAGCCCCCGUGGCCAAAAGCCCAGUGUUUACAGCACCUCUCACAUCCAGGGAAACCCCACCCUGGCGCUCACUCUUAGUAACACUUCCUAGUAGGUAUUAGGUGGUAAGCCGAGCUCUUCCUCGGUCUUGUUCUGAAUGCACACAUGUCUAGGGGCUAAGGAUGUCCUACAGGUACCCGCACGUAACCUUCAGAGAGUGUGGAUCUGAGUAGGAGACUGUGGUGCGCUGCUUUACAGACGUAGCCCAGUUUAAAAAACGUCUAUGCCCCUACAGGGUCGCGGUGGGCCGCACCCUUUCCUUUUACAAACUUGGUUUU
rnacentral:other from 14 species